rnacentral:rRNA from 1 species
GUGGGGAAUCUUGCGCAAUGGGCGAAAGCCUGACGCAGCCAUGCCGCGUGGAUGAUGAAGGUCUUAGGAUUGUAAAAUCCUUUCACCGGUGAAGAUAAUGACUGUAGCCGGAGAAGAAGCCCCGGCUAACUUCGUGCCAGCAGCCGCGGUAAUACGAAGGGGGCUAGCGUUGCUCGGUUUUACUGGGCGUAAAGGGCGCGUAGGCGGACAUUUAAGUCAGGGGUGAAAUCCCGGGGCUCAACCUCGGAACUGCCUUUGAUACUGGGUGUCUUGAGUAUGAGAGAGGUGUGUGGAACUCCGAGUGUAGAGGUGAAAUUCGUAGAUAUGCGGAAGAACACCAGUGGCGAAGGCGACACACUGGCUCAUUACUGACGCUGAGGCGCGAAAGCGUGGGGAGCAAACAGGAUUAGAUACCCGGGUAGUCC